AGAGUUUGAUCCUGGCUCAGAUUGAACGCUGGCGGCGUGCUUAACACAUGCAAGUCGAUCGGUAACGCGGGGGCAACCCUGGCGACGAGAGGCGGACGGGUGAGGAACGCUUGGGAAUCUGCCCUUCAGCGGGGGACAACCCGGGGAAACUCGGGCUAAUACCGCAUACGCUCCAAGGGGGAAAGCCGGGGACCGCAAGGCCUGGCACUGAAGGAUGAGCCCAAGCCGGAUUAGCUAGUUGGCGGGGUAACGGCCCACCAAGGCGACGAUCCGUAGCUGGUCUGAGAGGACGAUCAGCCACACCGGAACUGAGACACGGUCCGGACUCCUACGGGAGGCAGCAGUGGGGAAUAUUGGACAAUGGGGGAAACCCUGAUCCAGCGACGCCGCGUGGGUGAAGAAGGCCUGCGGGUUGUAAAGCCCUUUCGGUAGGGACGAAAACUCUUGCUCUAACAAAGCAGGAGCUUGACUUAACCUACAUAAGAAGCACCGGCUAACUCUGUGCCAGCAGCCGCGGUAAUACAGAGGGUGCGAGCGUUAAUCGGAAUUACUGGGCGUAAAGCGCACGUAGUCGGCUUUGCAAGCCGGUUGUGAAAUCCCCGGGCUCAACCUGGGAACUGCAUCCGGGACUGCAUUGCUAGAGUAUGGGAGAGGGAAGCGGAAUUUCUGGUGUAGCAGUGAAAUGCGUAGAUAUCAGAAGGAACAUCAGUGGCGAAGGCGGCUUCCUGGACCAAUACUGACGAUCAGGUGCGAAAGCGUGGGGAGCAAACAGGAUUAGAUACCCUGGUAGUCCACGCCCUAAACGAUGACAACUGGAUGUCGGGAGGGUUUGCCUUCCGGUGUCGUAGCUAACGCGUUAAGUUGUCCGCCUGGGAAGUACGGCCGCAAGGUUGAAACUUAAAGGAAUUGACGG
rnacentral:rRNA from 1 species